AUUGAACGCUGGCGGUAUGCCUAACACAUGCAAGUCGAACGGUAACGGGCUUAGAGCUUGCUAUUACUGGUGGCCGGGUGCGGACUACAUCGGAACACAUCCGAACGUAGUUUAUCAUGGGGCGAAACCUUUGGUAACUCAGCAUACUAUCUCCGGCUGCAUGCAGGGGAACGCAAGGCCUCUUCCGGCCUUACCCGCCGAUGUGAGCCGAUGUCGGAUUAGGUAGUUGGCGGGGUAAAGGCCCACCAAGGCGACGAUCCGUAGCUGGUCUGAGAGGAUGAUCAGCCACACUGGAACUGAGACACGGUCCAGACUCCUACGGGAGGCAGCAGUGGGGAAUAUUGGACAAUGGGCGCAAGCCUGAUCCAGCCAUGCCGCGUGGAUGAAGAAGGCCUUCGGGUUGUAAAGCCCUUUUGUUGGGAAAGAAAAGCAGUAGGUUAAUACCCCGCUGUUCUGACGGUACCCAAAGAAUAAGCACCGGCUAACUUCGUG
rnacentral:rRNA from 1 species